UGACUGCAGGCUGGCUUUCCAAUCCAUUAGUGCCCUCCACAAGUCAAGUGUUGGACCACAGGAAAUGAAGAAGUAGAGCUUUGGUUUACAUAUGUUGACGUGAACAACUCAGUUGCACCCGUUAUGAGAGUAACUGCUCAGCUCAUGAUGAGUGAAUAGGUCAUCCAGCAAGAAACAGAAAACACAGAAAUGGACCUUCUUUGGGAGCAGGGUAGCAAGGU
rnacentral:lncRNA from 1 species